rnacentral:rRNA from 1 species
GACAGAGGUGGCGAGCGUUGUUCGGAAUUACUGGGCUUAAAGGGCGAGUAGGCGGUAGGGCAAGUCCAAGGUGGAAUCCUAUGGCUCAACCACAGAAUUGCCUUGGAAACUGCUUUACUUGAGUCAGUGAGGGGAGGGCAGAAUUCCUGGUGUAGCGGUGAAAUGCGUAGAUAUCAGGAGGAAGGCCUGUGGCGAAGGCGGCCCUCUGGCACUGGACUGACGCUGAGGCGCGAAAGCGUGGGUAGCAAACAGG